rnacentral:misc_RNA from 1 species
GCAUUUUCGAGCCAGAAGUGCGAAGCGCCUACGUGGGAAAUGCGACAAAACAAAUAGUUAGAGCGGUUCCGGCGAUUCUGUUAAAACGGGAACCACUCUCGUGGAU